rnacentral:rRNA from 1 species
AUUGAACGCUGGCGGCAGGCCUAACACAUGCAAGUCGAGCGGAUGAAGGGAGCUUGCUCCUGGAUUCAGCGGCGGACGGGUGAGUAAUGCCUAGGAAUCUGCCUGGUAGUGGGGGAUAACGUCCGGAAACGGGCGCUAAUACCGCAUACGUCCUGAGGGAGAAAGUGGGGGAUCUUCGGACCUCACGCUAUCAGAUGAGCCUAGGUCGGAUUAGCUAGUUGGUGGGGUAAAGGCCUACCAAGGCGACGAUCCGUAACUGGUCUGAGAGGAUGAUCAGUCACACUGGAACUGAGACACGGUCCAGACUCCUACGGGAGGCAGCAGUGGGGAAUAUUGGACAAUGGGCGAAAGCCUGAUCCAGCCAUGCCGCGUGUGUGAAGAAGGUCUUCGGAUUGUAAAGCACUUUAGGUUGAGAGGAAGGGCAGUAAGUUAAUACCUUGCUGUUUUGACGUUACCAACAGAAUAAGCACCGGCUAACUUCGUG